UACGUAGGGGGGCAAGCGUUGUCCGGAUUUAUUGGGCGUAAAGAGCGUGUAGGCGGCCAUACAGGUCCGUUGUGAAAACUGGAGGCUUAACCUCCAGACGUCGAUGGAAACCGUAUGGCUAGAGUCCGGAAGAGGAGAGUGGAAUUCCUGGUGUAGCGGUGAAAUGCGUAGAUAUCAGGAGGAACACCGGUGGCGAAGGCGGGUCUCUGGGCAGUAACUGACGCUGAGGAGCGAAAGCGUGGGGAGCGAACAGG
rnacentral:rRNA from 1 species